rnacentral:lncRNA from 1 species
CAGCCCCUUGACAUGUGAGCGGCGUUCCUCAGCCUCUGCCAUCAUGCACCACCACCCUGCAAGGAGGGCACAGCAGAGAGAAACUGGGCCCAGAGGACCCCAGGUGGCCACUGCUGGGCCAGGCGGACACUCAGAACAGUGUGUGACGCAGAGCAGGUGCUUUGGCCACAAAGGUAAAGAGCCUGUGAGAACAUCCAGCCCCCAAGACAUGCUCAGGAAUAAAAGCGAAACACCCAGCAUGGAGCCCAGCACAUGGGAUCAUGGAAGAGGUCCCAGGAGCACAGAGCCACACCAUCCAUUCCAUGGGAGUGGGAACUAGAGCUGACAGCUUUCAUCAGCCAAGCCUGCAACACACCCACAAAUCAUAGUCACACACUGCACACCUGAGGCUUUGGCAAAAACACCGCAUCCAGCACAUCGGUUGUGACCAGAGACAGGGCCACAUUGAGCCUGCAGGAGUCAUGUCCAUUUUCCAGAAUCUAUCCCAUCUAUUCACCUUCCACAAGGACCAGACCAGUGAAUGAACACACAGACACACACACACACACGCACACGCACAAGAGAGAGAGAUGAAAGCAAUUGGCUCCCAUGAUCUGUCCCGUCUGCAAGCUGAGACCCGGGAGAGCCGGUGGAGUAAAUCGCAGUCCGAGGGCAGGAGAUGAGAUAAGACAUCCCAGCUCAAGCAGUGACGCAAGAAAAAGAGGGCAGAUUCUUCUUCCCCUGCCUUUCUGUUCUAUUCAGGUUCACACUGGAUGGGAGGAGGCCCCCACGCUGGGGAGGGCAUCUGCCUUCCUGAGUCCACCAAUCCCAAUACUCAUCUCACCCAGAAUCAACCUCGCAGACAUGCCUGGAUCAAGGUUUAAUCUGGGCACCCUGUGGCCCAGUUAAGUGAACACAUAGAAAUAAUUCGUCACACCAGAGAUCUUGAUGGUGCAUACAAACAUCCACUGUCCUCGCCGAGAUGCGAUUGUGUUUCUGAUUUAUUAUCUUGACCGAGGAUGCUUUCAGUGACCUACACUUGACCUCCUCUCUAACAGAAGACGAUGAUAACGUUUCAGGUCUUGUUUGUUUGUUUUGCGAGACAAGGUCUUGCUAUGUUGCCCAGGCUGGAGUGCGGUGGCAUGAUCAUGGCUCACUGCAGCCUCAAACCCCUGGGCUCAAAUGAUCCUCCUGCCUCACCUGGGACCCCAGGUGUGCACCACCAUGCCUGGCUAAUUUCUCUUAAUUUUUCUUUGUUUGUCUCUCUACAAAAGGGUGUCUCUCUACAAAAAAAGAAAAAUUAAGAGAAAUUAGCCAGGCGUGGUGAUGCACAGGCUGGUCUUCAUCUCCUGGGUGCAAGCGAUUCCUCCUUGGCCUCCCAAAGUGCUGUGAUAACAGGCAUGAACCAGUGUGCCCAGCCACCCUCCAGGUCUUUAGAUGCCAGCGUCAACUCAGAGCCUGUGUCCAUCGGUCCUACAAUGUGAGGGGUCUCUGUGCCAGAGUGCUCAGCCCUGUGAGUAAAUGCCACGUUCCUUUGCGAGAACAUUCCAGCAAAUGCUGGCAGUGGUGUUGCUGGGCCUUCCCUCUGCAGACCUUGGCUGCGUCUUCAAGCAACAGGCUCUGGGUCAGAAAAUAAACUCAGAUACGGACAUGGGGCAAGACAGCACGGCUUCUUAUCGGAGCGAUCACUUUCAGCCUCUUCCCCAUUCAUUCAUAGUCUCUGUUCAUUAAAUAAACAGCUUUAUUGAGGUAUUAUUGACAUACAAUAAACUGCACAUAUCUAAAAUGUACAGUUUGAUACAUUUUAAAACGCGAAACUUGUGUCCACUCAUGUCCUCAGAAACGGUCACCAUGAUGGGGACAGUGGGCACGUCCCCUCCCUGACGGUGUCCUCCUGCCCCUUUGUAACCCUUCCUGUCACUCUUCCCUUUCCCCAGCCCCCAUGAGCCACUGCUGACCUGCUUUCUACCGCAUUUCUGAGUUUCACUGUAUAUAUGGAAAUAUACAGUGAGUCUUCUUUUUCCUCUGGCUUCCUUCAUUCAGAAAAUUCUCUUGAGCUUCACCCUUGUUUGUUGUUCUGUAUGAGUAACUCACCCCUUCCUGUUGCUAACUAUACCCUCCUGCCUGGCUAGACCAGAGCUUGUUUUUAUCUGUUCAUCUGUUGAUGAACACCUGAGUCAUAUC